AUUGAACGCUGGCGGCAUGCCUUACACAUGCAAGUCGAACGGCAGCACGGGUGCUUGCACCUGGUGGCGAGUGGCGAACGGGUGAGUAAUACAUCGGAACAUGUCCUGUAGUGGGGGAUAGCCCGGCGAAAGCCGGAUUAAUACCGCAUACGAUCCACGGAUGAAAGCGGGGGACCUUCGGGCCUCGCGCUAUAGGGUUGGCCGAUGGCUGAUUAGCUAGUUGGUGGGGUAAAGGCCUACCAAGGCGACGAUCAGUAGCUGGUCUGAGAGGACGACCAGCCACAUGGGGAUUGAGCAACGGCCCAACCCCCUACGGGAGGCAGGGGUGGGAAAUUUUGGAAAAUGGGCGAAAGCCUGAUCCAGCAAGGCCGGGUGUGUGAAGAAGGCCUUCGGGUUGUAAAGCACUUUUGCCCGGAAAAAAACCCUUGACCUUAAAACAGUCGGGGGAUGACGGUACCGGAAAAAAAAGCACCGGCUAACUACGU
rnacentral:rRNA from 1 species